AUUUAUGGCCAUGCCUCCCUGAACAUGCCCAAUCUCGGCCAAUCUCGGAAGCUAAGCAGGGUCAGGCCUGGUUAGUACUUGAAUGGGAGACCACCUAGGAAUAUCAGGUGCUGUAGGCA
rnacentral:rRNA from 1 species